rnacentral:lncRNA from 1 species
GGUGCUGAGAAUCAAACCCAAGGCCUCACACAUGCUAGGCAAGUGCUUUACCACUCUAAUAAUAAUUUUUAACUUUACUAUUGAUACUUUAAAAAAACUCUGUGGACCUGUUUUUUUUUGUUUUGUUGCGUAUCUCCUUUUAUCACAGUGUAAAAAUGGGAAUGUUUGAUUGUUUUCCUUAGAAAAGGACCACAUAGUCUUGUUUGUAUCCUCAGUUGUUGCAUAACACAUGGCAGCACAUUUUCCAUUCUCUAACUUCAUCAAGGAACAUUUAAUGCCUGUGAAUUCCAGCUGUCUUGUAAUGCACAACUGCAGGCAGCAAAUUGUGGACCCAGGCAGGCCACAGAGCAGGUGGACCUGGUAUACAGAGCCCUUAGAAUUUGCAGCUGUCAGCUGGAGUCUGCCAGAGGGUUCCCAUAGCACCUAUUCUUGUGAGAAUCUCACUGAAAGACUGGAAUGUUCAGAAAAUAUGCUGCGAACACCAAACAAAGUAAAUAAAUGGCCAGUUGGCUCUCAGAAUUGCCCAAAUCCUGUUCUGCCCUUCUAAUUGAUCUUGUGACAGGAUAACAUUUUAAAAACACAUCAACAAAGCAAUCCUAGAUAUCUCUCUAUACAUGAAUAUACAUAUGUGAAUGAAUUUUUAUAAUCUUUGAGAAAGAUAUACACCAAACAGUAUAGUGUUCACCCUUAAGGAGGAACUGGGGAUGGAGAGAGUGGUAAAGAAGAGCUUUGACUAGGGAUUUAGUAUUUGAGUUUAUAUAAAAAUAUA